rnacentral:sRNA from 1 species
UUUUAGCCCCGAUUGAAGUGGAAAUCCUGUCAUUGCAGAGCCAAAAGUUUGAUGAGAUUAGCUUACGCUCAGUUCGCUUCGCUCGUGUGUCUUCGUUCCUCGCAAUGACAGAUUGUAACGAAAAGCGGGAAAAUGG